UUGAACUAAAAAACAUAAUAUUAACAGUGAUUUUUAUUGUAUCAUGAUUUGUUACUUAUUUUUAUUGCUCAAAAUAAAUGUUAACAGCGUCAAAAUCAGGGAAUGUGAAUUGAAUAAAUUUACUAUCAUAAAAAUGUAAUUAUUUAAAAAGAAAAUAUAAUUAAAAGCUUUUGGUCAUGGAAACAAUUUAAUAUCAAUGUAAUUUCAUAUAUGUCAGGGACUACUUCAGUUGAGGAAGAUUUAUUUUCUAUCGAAUUUUAACUUUAGAUUCAAGGACUUAUUGAUUAGUUUAUGAGAAAAAUCAUUAAUUUAUAUAUCUGAUGAAGAAAAUACAUCAUUGUUAUACAACCCUCUUUUAGUUGAAAUCAACAACUUUAUCAAUAUUGAAGUUAUUUCUACAAAGAGCUAAAUAUAAUUCCAAAUUCUAUCAAUCCAGAUUCAUUAAACAAUCCAAAUUUUUCUCGAGAAGUUAUUUACUUCAGGCAAUAUUUGGUUGUUGAAAAUAUUCACGAACUUUUGUUUGAAGAAGUAUAUUGAUUUGAAUAAAAAUAUCUCCUGGAAUUUGAGAGAUAAAUGUAAAUAAUAAAUGUAAAUAAAUAUCCUUCAAAAAUAGAAACCUAAAGAAAUUUAAUGAGAAGUGCUCUGUAAAUUUGAACGAAGCAAGAGUUUUAAUGAAGAAUGAAGGAAAUAACAAGAAAGGAUUUGAUAAACAUUAUGAAGGUAUGGGUGAUAUAAUAUGAGUUUCAGGACAAAUGACAGCUAAAAAUGGUUUCACGGAAAGAAAACAUACGUCAUCAAUUGUUUUUGAAGAAACUUGUUAUUUUGUGUAGAUUGAAAGUGAAUUUAAUUUGAAACAUUCCAAGUUUUCUUGUGAUCUUAUAUGAAUAAAAAAAACUUACAAUUUCCUCUUUCAAGAUUUUUAAAUGUGAAAAAUGGACAGAUUUUUGCCAAAACGCACUUUGUGAAAUAUUAUGUAAACUGAAAUUGUGUAGAUAGAACAUUCCUGUCUGAUUUGUUUUUUUCUUAAAAUUACUUUCCUUAGUAAAACAUGAAUUGAUAAUAAAGUAUUGAAGUUUUUA